ACCAGACUCCUACGGGAGGCAGCAGUGGGGAAUAUUGCACAAUGGGGGAAACCCUGAUGCAGCGACGCCGCGUGAGCGAAGAAGUACCUCGGUAUGUAAAGCUCUAUCAGCAGGGAAGAAGAUGACGGUACCUGACCAAGAAGCUCCGGCUAAAUACGUGCCAGCAGCCGCGGUAAUACGUAUGGAGCAAGCGUUAUCCGGAUUUACUGGGUGUAAAGGGAGCGCAGGCGGCCUUGCAAGUCUGGAGUGAAAGGCGGGGGCUCAACCCCCGGACUGCUCUGGAAACUGUACGGCUGGAGUGCAGGAGAGGUAAGUGGAAUUCCUAGUGUAGCGGUGAAAUGCGUAGAUAUUAGGAGGAACACCAGUGGCGAAGGCGGCCUACUGGACUGUAACUGACGUUGAGGCUCGAAAGCGUGGGGAGCAAACAGGAUUAGAUACCCUAGUAU
rnacentral:rRNA from 1 species